rnacentral:lncRNA from 1 species
UCUUUUUUAUUUUUUAAUUUUUUAAUUUUUUAAAAAAUAUUUAUUUACUUAUUAUAUGUAAGUACACUGUAGCUGUCUUCAGACACUCCAGAAGAGAGCAUCAGAUUUUGUUACGGGUGGUUGUGAGCCAUCAUGUGGUUGCUGGGAUUUGAACUCAGGACCUUUGGAAGAGCAGUCGGCGCUCUUAACCGCUGAGCCAUCUCACCAGCCCAAGCUCUUUUUAAAAAAAUACUAAUAUUCCAUACUGGAGGAAGUGUGACAGGGGCAGGAUUUGAGGUUUCAGAUGCUCAAGCCAGGGUCAGUAGCACUCUCUGUUCCUGUUGCCUGCUGAUCUGGAUGUAGAACUCCCAGCUCCUAUUCCAGAAGCUUGUCUGCCCGGAUGCUGCUGUGCUUCUGGCCAUGAUGAUCGUGGACUAAACUUCUGAAUCAGUAAGCCAGCCCCUAUCAAAUGUUUAUAAGAGUAGGCCACACCUACUCCAACAAGGCCACACCUCCUAAUAGUGGGCCUCUGGGAGCCAUUUUCAUUCAAAUCACCACAAAUGUACUAUCUAAAUUAUUACAUAAAUAUAUAAACAUUAACUAUAAGAUUUUGGGGGAGAUUCCUUAACGGAUUGAGGCAUUGAGGUUUUUGUUUUUGUUACUCAAAUUUGGACACAGUAGUUAUAAUGGCUAGGUUGGCUUCUACCUUGUGAUCUUUCUGCCUCUGUUUCCUGAUGUGCUGGGAUCCACUGUACCUUACUAAGAGUAUUAGUAUUUUUUUAAAAAAAGAUCUUUUAGGUAAACUGUUACUGAAUACUUGAGGAAACUACUUGUGCAAAUUAAUAUGUAAGGAGCCAAGAUAAAUUGUUUUUAAUGCUAUUGAAAUUUCACUAGCAUUUUCUGUGUGUAUAUAUGUACAUUUACAUAUGUCCAACACUUAUAUAGAAAUGUAUAUACAUACAUGUAUAUAUUCCUUUAUAGAAAAAAGUAAAAAUUUUAAUGAAUAAUAGAAAAGUUCUAAAGUCUAGAUUUAUUUCCCUUAAAUGGCUGUCAUUUGCUCUUAUAUGACCAAAUUGAAUAAUCUCUAGAUUAGAAACUUACUUUUUGAGUAAAUAUUGAACUUGCAUUUUAGGUAAAAGGAUGCCACG